rnacentral:rRNA from 1 species
GACGAACGCUGGCGGCGUGACUAAUAAAUGCAAGUCGAACGAGUGGCGGAAGGGUGAGUAAAACGUGGGAACCUACCCAACAGAGGGGGAUAACACUUGGAAACAGGUGAUAAUACCGCAUACUGCUGGAUGGACCCGCGGUGCACUAGCUAGUAGGUGGGGUAAAGGCCAACCUAGGCGACGAUCUCUAGUGUGUCUGACAGGAUGAUCAUCCACACUGGACCUGAGACACGGCCCAGACUCCUACGGGAGGCAGCAGUGGGGAAUAUUGCCCAAUGGGCGCAAGCCUGCUGCAGCCAUGCCGCGUGUAGGAAGAAGGCCUUAGGUUUGUAAAGUACUUUCAGCGGGGAGGCGUUACCCGCAGAAGAAGCACCGGCUAACUCCGUGCCAGCAGCCGCGGUAAUAC